rnacentral:rRNA from 1 species
UACAGGGGUGGCAAGCGUUGUUCGGAUUUACUGGGCGUAAAGGGUCCGUAGGCGGUUCGGUUAGUCAAAUGUGAAAGCCCACAGCUCAACUGUGGAACUGCAUUUGAAACUGCCGAGCUAGAGUAUGAGAGGGGUUAAGGGAAUUCCCGGUGUAAGGGUGAAAUCUGCAGAGAUCGGGAGGAACACCGGUGGCGAAGGCGGCUCACUGGUCCGGUACUGACGCUGAGGUGCGAAAGCGUGGGGAGCAAACAGG